AUUGAACGCUGGCGGCAUGCUUUACACAUGCAAGUCGAACGGUAACAGGCCGCAAGGUGCUGACGAGUGGCGAACGGGUGAGUAAUGCAUCGGAACGUGCCCAGUCGUGGGGGAUAACGCAGCGAAAGCUGCGCUAAUACCGCAUACGAUCUAUGGAUGAAAGCGGGGGACCGUAAGGCCUCGCGCGAUUGGAGCGGCCGAUGUCAGAUUAGGUAGUUGGUGGGGUAAAGGCUCACCAAGCCAACGAUCUGUAGCUGGUCUGAGAGGACGACCAGCCACACUGGGACUGAGACACGGCCCAGACUCCUACGGGAGGCAGCAGUGGGGAAUUUUGGACAAUGGGCGCAAGCCUGAUCCAGCAAUGCCGCGUGCAGGAAGAAGGCCUUCGGGUUGUAAACUGCUUUUGUACGGAACGAAAAGGCUCUGGUUAAUACCUGGGGCUCAUGACGGUACCGUAAAAAUAAGCACCGGCUGACUACGUGCCAGCCGCCGCCGUAAAAC
rnacentral:rRNA from 1 species